AUUGAACGCUGGCGGCAUGCUUUACACAUGCAAGUCGAACGGUAACAGGCCUUCGGGUGCUGACGAGUGGCGAACGGGUGAGUAAUGCAUCGGAACGUGCCCAAUCGGUGGGGGAUAACGUAGCGAAAGUUACGCUAAUACCGCAUAAGCCCUGAGGGGGAAAGUGGGGGACCGCAAGGCCUCACGCGAAUGGAGCGGCCGAUGUCAGAUUAGCUAGUUGGUGGGGUAAAGGCCCACCAAGGCGACGAUCUGUAGCGGGUCUGAGAGGAUGAUCCGCCACACUGGGACUGAGACACGGCCCAGACUCCUACGGGAGGCAGCAGUGGGGAAUUUUGGACAAUGGGCGCAAGCCUGAUCCAGCCAUGCCGCGUGCGGGACGAAGGCCUUCGGGUUGUAAACCGCUUUCAGCCGGAAAGAAAUCGCCGUUUUUAAUACAGACGGUGGAUGACGGUACCGGAAGAAGAAGCACCGGCUAACUACGUGCCAGCAGCCGCGGUAAAGUAGUCGUG
rnacentral:rRNA from 1 species